rnacentral:rRNA from 1 species
GACGAACGCUGGCGGCGUGCUUAAUACAUGCAAGUCGAACGGAAAGGCCCGGCUCUUGCGGGGUGCUCGAGUGGCGAACGGGUGAGUAACACGUGAGUAACCUGCCCUUGACUUUGGGAUAACUUCAGGAAACUGGGGCUAAUACCGGAUAGGAGCUCUUGCUGCAUGGGGGGGGUUGGAAAGUUUCGGCGGUUGGGGAUGGACUCGCGGCUUAUCAGCUUGUUGGUCGGGUAGGGGCUUACCAGGGCUUUGACGGGUAGCCGGCCUGAGAGGGUGACCGGCCACCUUGCGCCUGCGAUACGGCCCAGUCUCCUACGGGAGGCAGCAGUGGGGAAUAUUGCACAAUGGGCGGACGCCUGAUGCAGCAGCGCCGCGUGCGGGAUGACGGCCUUCGGGUUGUAAACCGCUUUCGCCUGUGCCGAAGCGUGAGUGACGGUACUGAGUAAAAAAGCACCGGCUAACUACGUG